CUGCAACCUGAGAUCAGACGCGGUGACCUGCAGAAUUUAGGAAUAUUACAAAGCGGAGGAAAAUUAACAAGGAUUCCCUCAGUAACGGCGAGUGAAGAGAGAAGAUCCCAGUGCUGGAUUCCCAUCCGGCACAGGAAAUAUGGCACACAGAAGACCAACUCACUGGUGUCGCUCAGGGGGCCUUAGUCCUUUUGAUCGCGGCUCAACCCGCGGAUGGUGCUAGGCCGGUAGCUGCCCCCACCAUGCCAGGAUUGGGUCUUCUCAGAGUUGUGUUGCUGCAGCCCAAAGUGGGUGUUUAACCACAUGAAAGGCUAGACUGAUAGCCAACAAAGUACCUGUAAGGGAAAGUUGAAAAUAACUUACUUUGAAGAGAGAGUUCAAGAAGAUGUGAAACAUUUGAGAGGUAAACGGGUGGCGUCUGUGCAGUCCGCGCAGAGAAUUCAACAUGGCGGGCUGGUUGGUUGCCUGAAAUGGUGGAUUCCCUCACAGGACCACCACCUGGAUGCACCUGGUCCCCCGCAGGGUUCAUUUCCUCCAUGGCAGUGUACCGCUGUAACGGAGAGUGUUCACCAGGAAGAGUGAUUGGGGACCCCUCCUCCUGAAGUGACAGUCGACUCGGGUGCACUAUCCUCUGUGCACCCUCACUGUGACACACCACCGGGCAGGCAGGCCCAUGAAGGGCAUCAGGGGUCAGCGGUGAUGUCAGGUUACCCACCUGACUCGACUUGAAACACGGUCCAAGGAGUCAAACAAGUGCGCGAUUUGAAGGGCCGAACAAAACCAUGUGGCGCAAUGAAGGUGAGGGCCGGCAUGCACCGGCAGAGGUUGGAUCCCAUCGUAGAAUCGCGGUGGGCGCACUACCGGCCCAUCUCAGCGGCUUUUUCAGGAAGGUGGAUCAUGAGCGUGUGUGAUAGAACCUGAAAGAUGGUGAACUUUUAGGGCAAAGCCAGAGGAAACUCUCGUGGACGUCCGUAGUGGUCCUGAUGUGCAAAUCGGUCAUCUGACCAGAGUAUAGGGGCAAAAUACUAAUCAAACGCAGGUGGUUGGCAUUCAGAAUCCCCAGUUUCAUCUGGUAAAGUGAAUAAUUAGAGUUCUUGGGGCCGAGACGAUCUCAACCUAUUCCCAAACCUUUUUAUUUUUCUAAACCUUUAUUUUAACUUACACAGGUACAUGGCAUUAACUUUUAUACAAAAUGAUACUUCUUAUAUGGCGUCAUUACAUCUCCUAGUUUAUACAUGUUUGUUAUUACACAUACGCAACUUCUUCCUCAUCAAUACUGUCUGAGAGAUAUUGUUUGUAUCUGUCCCAAAUAUUCCUAGGGCGAGUUGUAACAUGCAUUAGUUCAAUGUACAUUUCUUCAUUGUCAUUCACCCAAAGCAAGAAGCCAGCUCACUGGCGUGAAACAGGGCAUUAGAGCGCCCAAUGCCAACACUCAUCAGAUCCCAGAAAAGGUGUUGGUUGAUAUAUACAGUAGGAUGAUGGCCAUGAAAGUCGGAAUCCGCUAAGGAGUGUGUAACAACUCACCUGCCGAAUCAACAAACCCCGAUAAUGGAUGGUGCUGGAGUGUUGGGCCUCUAUCUGGCUGUCGCUGACACUGAGAGCCCUGGUGGCUAAACCACGAUGAGUAGGAGGGCCGCUGCUGUGUGGCACGAAGGCCCGGGUGAGGUCCCGGUUGGAGCCUGUGCAGGUGGAGAUCUUGGCGGUAGUAGAAAAAAUUCAAACAAGAACAUUGAAGGCUGAAGUGGAGAAGGGUUCCAUGAGAACAGCAGCCAGUCUAUACUAAGAGAUGGGCGAGCGCCUUUCGGAAGGGCAGGCGAUGGCCUCCGGUUCACUCAGCUGAUCGAAAGGGAGUCAAAAUGCCUGAACCUGGAGUGGCGGAGAUGGGUGCCCUUGCGGCAUCCAGUCCAGUAACGCAAAUGAUCCCAGAGAAGCCGGCACCCUGGAAUGGGUUUGCCCUGAGAGAAGGGCCUGAGCCUUGGAAAGCGUUGCUGUUCCAGCAGCAUCCAGUGAGCUCCCGCUGGUCCUUGAAAUAUCUGGGGAGAUGGUGAACUACCUCUGGCAUGUUGGAACGAUGUAGGUAAGGGAAGUUGGCAAGUCAAAUUUAAAACUUCAGGUUAAGAGCUGGGUCUGUCAGGCGCAUGCUGCGGCUGUGGGGUGUGAAGCGGGGCUGGACACAUGCUGUGGCUGGGCGAGCUAUCUCCCCCCGUGGGUGGGGCCCAAGCUGGACAUGAGCUGGGCCUUUCCUGUGGAUCGUCCCAGCUGCAGUGGUUGCCUCUCUCCAUUUCCCUCCUGAGGCUUGGGGCCGGCGUUCUGCCUCAGCCGAUGCCUAGCAGCUGACUUAGAACUCGUGUGGACCAGGGGAAUCCGACGGUUUAAUUAAAAAAAGCAUUGCGAAGGCCCACAGCGGAUGUUGACGCAAUGUGAUUUCUGCUCAGUGCUCUGAAUGUCAAGGUAAAGAAAUUCAAUGAAGCACAGGUAAAGGGCAGGUAUGACUCUCUAAAGGUAGCAAAAUUCCUCAUCAUUUAAUUAGUGACACGCAUGAAUGGAUGAAUGAGUUUCCGAAACCACAGCCAUGGGACCGGGCUUGGUGUAGGAAAAGUGAGAAAGCCUUGGGCUGCCAGUGAAAUACCACUAGUCUUAUCAUUUUCUCACCUACCCGGUGAAGCAGGGCAGCAAGCCCCCUGGGGCUCCUGCUUAUGGCUCCAAGUACCUGGCACCCGCUGGAAGCAACCCACUCAGUGGCAGUGGCAAAUGGGGAGUUUGACUGGGGCGAUACACCUGACAAACGAUAACGCAGAUGUCCUAAGGGCAAAAGCUUGCUUGAUCUCAAUGUUCAGUAUGAAUACAGACCAUGAAAGCAGUGCCUCACAAUCCUUGUGACUUUUUGGGUUUCAAGCAGGAGGUGUCAGAAAUGUUACCAGAGGGAUAACUGGCUUGUGGCAGCCAAGCGUUCAGAGUGAAGUCGAUUUUGAUCCUUCGAUUUCGACUCUUCCUAUCAUUGUGAAGCAGAAUUCAUCAUGCAUUGGGUUGUUCAGCCAAUAAUAGAGAAUGUGAGCAGCAUUCAGACCGUUGUGAGACAGGUUAGUUGUACCCUACUGAUGAUGCGUUGCAAUGGUCAUCCGGCUCAGUACAAGAGGAACUGUGGAUUGGGACAUGUGCUGUUUGUGCUUGGCUGAGAAGCCAAUGGGGCGAAGCUACAAUCUGUGGGAUUAUGACUGAACACUUCUAAGUGAGAAUACCCCCUAAACCAUAAUGAUACUUCAGUGCUGUAGAGCCUCAGUUGGCCUAGGAUAGCCAGCCUCUGGGCCCUUGCGUAGAGCCGGUCACCUCAGCACUUGAGUUUGGACAGAAGGGGGCCACCUCU
rnacentral:rRNA from 1 species